UUUGAUGGAGGGGGAGAGCCUGAUUCACUUAUAUAAAUUUGUUGUGACAGUCUAUUUCCGUCUUACUUUCGUGUUCAAAAUAGAAGAUGUUUUCCUAAAAUUUAUAAAUUGUCUUCAGAUUCAAUCAAUGUAAAAGAAAACAAACAAUUAAUGCAAAAUAAAUGCGAAAAACGUCGUCUUCGUUAUCAUAAGUCUGUGUUGAAUUUGUACAUAAUUUUUAAACAUUAUUAGUUAGACAAGUGUUCCCGCAAAAAUAAAUAUUUUAUUUAAAUCUCUUAUUUCUAUAUGUGAGCAAUUUAAAUAAAAAAAGGAGCGAAAACAGUUCAUUCAUGUCACCGCACACGCGGCAUCGGUGAUAUUAUAAAAUGGCAACACCAGAAAACGAAUCUUUUUUGGAUAUAAAAUCCAAAUUGGGAGUUUCAAACGACAAUUUAGACUGGAUUCCACUUUCAUUGACACUUGUCGAGUAUCCGCAAGGUGAUGGAUUUGGAAAAUUUUUAGCUCUUAUUAGUUUAAUGCCCUUUGCCGUAUUGACUGGUUUUAUCACUUUGAUAAUUUUUAGACGAGAUCUACAUACUAUUGUAUUUUUUAUUGGAAUGGUAAUAAAUGAAGUUGUUAAUUUUUUGUUAAAACAUACUAUUUGCGAAGCUAGACCUAUGAGACGUGAAGUUCUGUACUCCGAAUAUGGAAUGCCAUCGUCUCAUUCCCAAUUUAUAUGGUUUUUCACAGCAUACAUGGUCCUUUUUGUAUUAGUCAGAUUGCACCAUAACAAUAAUAGUACAAUCUCACAAAAAUUUUGGCGUAUGCUGACAAUAGUUCUUUGUAUUACUGUAGCUGUAUUUGUAGCGUACAGUAGAAUUUAUCUACAAUAUCAUUCGAAAGCUCAAGUGCUAUGUGGAAUGAUUCUGGGAAGUGCAUUGGGAAUCAUUUGGUUUUUAGUCACACAUUUAGUGCUGACUCCUUUCUUUCCUGUCAUUGUUUCAUGGAGAGCCUCUGAGUAUCUCCUAUUAAGAGACACAUCUCUUAUUCCAAACGUUUUAUGGUUUGAAUAUACAAAUAUUCGCACAGAAACAAGAGCUCGUUCUCGCAAACUCGUUUCAAUGAAGUCUCAAUGACGCCUAUUGGUCAACCAAUGGGCAGAAAGCAAAUAAAGAGAAUACUUUGUUAUCUAUUUACAGAAACGUCACAAUACUUAUUAUUAUUAAUAUUACGUGGAUCUAAAAGCUCAGUUGUCAAUCUGAAUGAUCUGAAAACGAGAUGUAAAUAAAAGUAGCAAAAGUGAAAAUUGACAAGUUGAAGGAAUUUUUAUUUUUUAGAAUUCUUUUUGAAAUAUAAAUAUAAAAUUGCAUUUAUUUGAAGGCAAUAAUAGGAAAAAACGUUUAUCGUAAGUCAGUACCAUAAAUGGACUGGUCAUGUCGAUCAGAAGAGACAAUAGGCAAUGAUCGACAUUUCAUUUCCUUUUUAAUAAAUAAAAUAAGUUUUUUACUUCAAUUUUUUUAAACAUUUCUUUAGAUACUGUACUGUAGUGAAUUUUUCAGAGUAAAAAUAUGGUGAUUUAUAAGCUA